AGGAAUAUUGGUCAAUGGACGCAAGUCUGAACCAGCCAUGCCGCGUGAAGGAUGAAGGUCCUCUGGAUUGUAAACUUCUUUUAUCUGGGACGAAAACGGGAUUUUUAUCUCAAUUGACGGUACCAGAGGAAUAAGCACCGGCUAACUCCGUGCCAGCAGCCGCGGUAAUACGGAGGGUGCGAGCGUUAUCCGGAUUUACUGGGUUUAAAGGGUGCGUAGGUGGGCUUAUAAGUCAGUGGUGAAAUCUCCGAGCUUAACUUGGAAACUGCCGUUGNUACUAUAGGUCUUGAAUUAUCUGGAGGUAAGCGGAAUAUGUCAUGUAGCGGUGAAAUGCUUAGAUAUGACAUAGAACACCAAUUGCGAAGGCAGCUUACUACAUAUAAAUUGACGCUGAGGCACGAAAGCGUGGGGAUCAAACA
rnacentral:rRNA from 1 species